CGGGGUGUAGUGUAGCGGCAACACGCUUGUUUUGGGAACAAGAGAUGCUGGGUUCAACUCCCAGCACCCCGACCA
rnacentral:tRNA from 1 species